rnacentral:rRNA from 1 species
CACGUGCGCAAGUCGGUGGGCUUUGUCGAAACCUGCAGGCGUAAGUGAAAGCGAAGAGAGCUUGGGUUUACCCAUAGUCUCUUGACGGAGGAUCCCACAAAGUUAGGACACUCUGCUGUCCAUCGUGUGGGCGCACUCCGGGGACGUCCUCGCUGUGGUUGUGCUCCUCUGCCCCCUAUGUUGCUUUUUGGUUUUCUGGGUUGAUACUGGGUAGGUGGGGCAACUCAUCUGCUUUUGUGUUUUCCCUCCAGAUUGUAACCGUGGGGUGCACGGGCAUGCCUCAUCGGUGAGGGCGUACCAAGAGCGUACGCGUUGGGACCCGAAAGAUGGUGAACUAUGCCUGGCCAGGAUGAAGCCAGAGGAAACUCUGGUGGAGGUCCGUAGCGAUUCUGACGUGCAAAUCGAUCGUCUGAGCUGGGUAUAGGGGCGAAAGACUAAUCGAACCAUCUAGUAGCUGGUUCCCUCCGAAGUUUCCCUCAGGAUAGCUGGUGCUCGCUCUUGGAGGUAUAUAUAAACGCGAGUCCCAUCCGGUAAAGCGAAUGAUUAGAGGCCUUGGGGCCGAAAUGACCUCAACCUAUUCUCAAACUUUAAAUGGGUGGGACACCUGGCUUACUUGAACUGAAGCCCAGGUUUGUCUGAUCCAGGUGCUACCCAGUGGGCCACUCUUGGUAAGCAGGACUGGCGCUGUGGGAUGAACCAAACGUUGGGUUACGGCGCCAAAGUUGAUGCCGAUUAGAAACCAGGAAAGGCGUUGGUUGCUA